rnacentral:rRNA from 1 species
CCUACGGGUGGCAGCAGUAGGGAAUAUUGCUCAAUGGGGGAAACUCUGAAGCAGCAACGCCGCGUGGAGGAUGAAGGUUUUCGGAUUGUAAACUCCUUUUGUUAGAGAAGAUAAUGACGGUCUCUAUCGACUAAGCACCGUCUAACUCCGUUCCAGCAGCCGCGGUAAUACGGAGGGUGCAAGCGUUACUCGGAAUCACUGGGCGUAAAGCGCGCGUAGGCGGGUUAGCAAGUCAGAUGUGAAAUCCUAUGGCUUAACCAUAGAACUGCAUUUGAUACUGUUAUUCUAGAGUAUGGGAGAGGUAGGUGGAAUGCUUGGUGGAGGGGUAAAAUGCGUAGAGAUAAAGAGGAAUACUCAUUGCGAAGGCGACCUGCUAGAACAUAACUGACGCUGAUGCGCGAAAGCGUGGGGAGCAAACAGGAUUAGAUACCCGGGUAGUC